rnacentral:rRNA from 1 species
UACGGAGGCAGCAGGGGGAAUAUUGCACAAUGGGCGAAAGCCUGAUGCAGCUAUGCCGCGUGUAUGAAGAAGGCCUUAGGGUUGUAAAGUACUUUCAUCGGGGAGGAAAAAACAAAACUAAUAAUUUUAUUUCUUGACGUUACCCGAAAAAGAAGCACCGGCUAACUCCGUGCCAGCAGCCGCGGUAAUACGGAGGGUGCUAGCGUUAAUCAGAAUUACUGGGCGUAAAGAGCACGUAGGUGGUUUUUUAAAGUUCAGAUGUGAAAUCCCUGGGCUUUAACCUAGGAACUGCAUUUUGAAACUGAAAUACUAGAGUAUCGUAGAGGGAGGUAGAAUUCUAGGUGUAGCGGUGAAAUGCGUAGAUAUCUGGAGGAAUACCUGUGGCGAAAGCGGCCUCCUAAACGAAUACUGACACUGAGGGUGCGAAAGCGUGGGGAGCAAACAGGGAUUAGAUACC